AGCUUUGCACAGUGGCAGUAUCGUAGCCAAUGAGAUUUAUCCGGGGCGCGAUUAUUGCUAAUUAAAACCCUUGAUUUAGAGAAAUUUGUUGUAUUUCUAUACAUCAAUAAUAAAUUAGC
rnacentral:snRNA from 1 species